GAUUUUCAAGAAGAAAAAUUUGAUACGUAUCGGUAUGGAAUAGUUACGUACCGGCUCGUAUCGAAGUCUGAGUCCGAUACGGGUCCGAUACGUAUCGCUUGUAUAUUGCACGUGUAACUUCUUGAACGCUCUUGACCUAAACUUUCUUCCUUGAAAAUCUUGAAUAUUAUUAUUUUUUCGUAGGUAUUCCGACUUAAAUUUUGAACCGCUCGCGAAUCCCGGUCAUUUGAAAUUUGAACAAAAAUACCGACUACAGAUCAGUCGUACAGAGUUCUAUUCAUACAUUUUAGCAAAAAACCACCAUGGAUAAGUGUAUUCUUUUCGGUAAAACGUCCAAUGUAUCGCCUCGCCACAAUACGUUAAUCUUCGUUUAUUUCCAAAAAACGAAAAUAGAAGGAAAUAAUGGCUAAACACCUUCGAAUUUGGCAUAGUAGAUAUCUGCGGUAAUCAAUUCACAACUAGUGGUCGUAAACAAUGCUCUCGAGACAUAAUCCAAACCAUUUGUCUGGGAUAGAAGUGUAAAAUAAAUUUAAGAAAUUUACAGCGAAAUUGGUAGUACUCUGAGUACGACUAGUGAAUCGCAUCUAAUAGAAAAUUUUGUUUCCCCGACGAUGAGUUGGAAGAAAAUUAACAGACAAAUAAAGGAUUUGGAGUCCAUACAGUUGAUGAUUUUAAAUCACCCAGAAAAGCCUUAGAUACUCAAUAAUGUCUAAUUCACACACACCUAUUUCAUACAGUGUAUUACACUCAUUAUGGUUAUCAAAACUAAAACCUACGAUGUACCACACUCGAGGAUCUAGGAAGUCGAGCCAAUGUGUUGACAAUUUUUCAGACUUAGACUUUCUUGGAGAUAACUCUACCGACUCGGAUGAAGCCAUACAAUAUUGGAGCGAAUUAUGAAACUCAAAAGCAAUACAGUUUUGCUGAGGAAGAAUCCAAUUUCAUUAUUACAGAGGGCUUCAACAUAUUUAAAUAUUGCAAGGAGACACAUAAAAAGUUUGGGCUUCAGUAAGGGAAUCUAGUUGGAACUGUGGAGUUGUGUUUGUGAAUAAAAUUAUUUUGUCAAUGACUAAUUUAAGAAAACUUUAUUUUUAAAUUUUAUAAUAAAAAACAAUAGUAGGUACCUAUUUAAAAUCAUUAUGAAUCACACUAUCAUACUUUUAAUAUCUGUCUAAUUCAUAGUUUAUAAUAUUAUUAUGUAUUUUAAAAUUUAGAACUAUAUGACUAAUGCAGCAAUGUGUUGUAAAUUAUUGUUAUACUUGCAGCAGUUGUUUGUACAUACUAAAAUAUUAGAAAUUAUUAGUAAGUAAGAAAAAAAUAAAUCAUAAUAGAGAUAUAAGUAUAACUGUAGCCAUAUGCCCGUAUAGAACAAUUAAAACAUUUUGUUUUUCAUGUCUAUGGACUUAAGACUAAUUAAUUUCCAAUUUUUAACUUAAUUUUUUCUACAUUUGUUAACUCGAUCUAUUUUAAUAUGAUUGGAGGGCGGAUUCGUAUGGUUUUACUUAUUUAUUCUGGUUGAUGGUAUGAUAUUAUGCUAAUAGCAAGCACAGGAUUUGUUCCAUGACGAUAACGAUUUAAACUGUGAAUCUUUUGGGCUGCAUAAUACGAAAAUUAACCAACUUUUUUCAUUUUAUUGACUUAUUUAAGAUUUCAAUUGCAUAUUUCUGUGGUUUUUUUUUCUUUUUUUUUUCGAAUUGACCAAUAUUGACAUUUUUCUAUGUGAGGUGAAGAAAUCUAAUUUGCUUCAUGUCAUCCUGAUUCCAAAUAAAAAAAAAUUUUUAUUGUUUUGUUGCAAUUAUUCCAGUUGUGGCAUUUUAAUUUUUUAUAUGUUUAUUGUACCACAAUAAUAAAAUAAAUGUAUUUCACCUAAUCAAUAAGAACUUAAAAUACACGAUUCCUAGUAGUGCAUUCCAGUAGUUACAGCUCUGUAGUCU